rnacentral:rRNA from 1 species
UGGGGAAUAUUGGACAAUGGGCGAAAGCCUGAUCCAGCCAUGCCGCGUGUGUGAAGAAGGUCUUCGGAUUGUAAAGCACUUUAAGUUGGGAGGAAGGGCAGUAAGCGAAUACCUUGCUGUUUUGACGUUACCGACAGAAUAAGCACCGGCUAACUCUGUGCCAGCAGCCGCGGUAAUACAGAGGGUGCAAGCGUUAAUCGGGAUUACUGGGCGUAAAGCGCGCGUAGGUGGUUCGUUAAGUUGAAUGUGAAAGCCCCGGGCUCAACCUGGGAACUGCAUCCAAAACUGGCGAGCUAGAGUAGGGCAGAGGGUGGUGGAAUUGCCUGUGUAGCGGUGAAAGGCGUAGAUAUAGGAAGGAACACCAGUGGCGAAGGCGACCACCUGGGCUCAUACUGACACUGUGGUGCGAAAGCGUGGGGAGCAAACAGG